rnacentral:rRNA from 1 species
GACGAACCGUGCGAACGUUGUUCGGAAUCACUGGGCGUAAAGCGUGCGCAGGCGGUGAUGUAAGACCGAUGUGAAAUCCCCGGGCUUAACCUGGGAACUGCAUUGGUGACUGCAUUGCUGGAGUAUGGCAGAGGGGGGUGGAAUUCCACGUGUAGCAGUGAAAUGCGUAGAGAUGUGGAGGAACACCGAUGGCGAAGGCAGCCCCCUGGGCCAAUACUGACGCUCAUGCACGAAAGCGUGGGGAGCAAACAGG